CCUACGGGAUGCUGCAGUGGGGAAUAUUGGACAAUGGGGGGAACCCUGAUCCAGCGACGCCGCGUGAGUGAAGAAGUAUUUCGGUAUGUAAAGCUCUAUCAGCAGGGAAGAAAGAAAUGACGGUACCUGACUAAUAAGCCACGGCUAACUACGUGCCAGCAGCCGCGGUAAUACGUAGGGGGCAAGCGUUAUCCGGAUUUACUGGGUGUAAAGGGAGCGUAGACGGCGAUGCAAGUCUGAAGUGAAAGGCGGGGGCUCAACCCCCGGCCUGCUUUGGAAACUGUAUGGCUGGAGUGCAGGAGAGGUAAGUGGAAUUCCGAGUGUAGCGGUGAAAUGCGUAGAUAUUAGGAGGAACACCAGUGGCGAAGGCGGCUUGCUGGACUGUAACUGACGUUGAGGCUCGAAAGCGUGGGGAGCAAACAGGAUUAGAUACCCGGGUAGUC
rnacentral:rRNA from 1 species